UACAGAGGUCCCAAGCGUUGUUCGGAUUCACUGGGCGUAAAGGGUGCGCAGGUGGGUUUGCAAGUUUGAUGUGAAAGCCCCGGGCUUAACCCGGGAAUGGCAUUGAAUACUGCAGAUCUGGAGGAUUGGAGGGGGGACUGGAAUUCUUGGUGUAGCAGUGAAAUGCGUAGAUAUCAAGAGGAACACCAGUGGCGAAGGCGAGUCCCUGGACAAUUCCUGACACUGAGGCACGAAAGCGUGGGGAGCAAACAGG
rnacentral:rRNA from 1 species